AAGCGCCUUUAACUUUGCUGUGCAGAAAAGAAUUUAACAAGUCCACACAGCUGCUGCAGUCAAAAAGAAGCCAAGAGUGACAGUUUUCCUUGAUAGUCCCCGUUCUGUUUGCUGUAACUGAUCUGCAACAUUUUGGGAAAAGACAGGU